AGAUUGGGUUCUAACUAUACUGCCCAAGCUAAAUUCAAACUCCUGGGCUCAAGUGAUCCUCCUGCCUAAGACUCCUUAGCAGCUUGAAACUUCAGAACCAUCUGUCACUGGCUGCUUCAUACUUUAGAUGCUCCAAGAGGAAAAAGUCACUUCAGAAUUGUAUCCAUAACCCAGUUUCACUGAAGAUGGAGUUUUCCUUCAGAUUUUCUACAUAGACAAUUAUACAUCUGUGAACAAAGACAGUUUAUUUCUUCCUUCCCACACCCUGCCACACUUCCUCCUGCUCCAGCAAUGUAAAACAUGCCUGCUUCCCCUUCACUUUCCACGUGACUGCAAGUUACCUGAUGCCUCUUUUGCCAGCUUUCCGUACAGCCUGUAGAACCAUGAGUAAUCACACCCCUUUCUUUAUAAAUUACCCAGUCUCAGACAUUUCUUUAUAGCAAUGCAAGAAUGGACUAAUACAGUAUCUGUGUAAAAAUGGAGAUGUUUCAUAAGAAAGAAUAAUCUCCUUUUGGUAUAA
rnacentral:lncRNA from 1 species